GAUGAACGCUGGCGGCGUGCCUAAUACAUGCAAGUCGAACGAAAACACGAGGAGCUUGCUCUCGUCACUUUAGCGGCGGACGGGGGAGUAAAACGUGGGUAACCUUCCCAUCAGAGGGGGAUAACUUCCGGGAAACGGUGCUAAUACCCCCUAAUUCUUCGAACCGCAUGGAUCGGAAGUUAAAGGCGGCUUUCCCUUCUCUUGUAGCAUGAUCCCGGGGGGCAUAGGCUAGUUGGAGGGGUAACGGCUCACCAAGGCGACGAGGCGUAGCGGACCUGAGAGGGUGAUCGGCCACACUGGAACUGAGACACGGUCCAGACUCCUACGGGAGGCAGCAGUAGGGAAUCUUCCGCAAUGGGCGCAAGCCUGACGGAGCAACGCCGCGUGAGUGAAGAAGGUCUUCGGAUCGUAAAACUCUGUUGUUAGGGAAGAACAAAUGCGAGAGUAACUGUUAGCGUCUUGACGGUACCUAAACAGAAAGCCACGGCUAACUACGUG
rnacentral:rRNA from 1 species